rnacentral:tRNA from 1 species
GCCCGGGUGGUGAAAUUGGUAGACACAACGGACUUAAAAUCCGUCGAAAGGCGACUUUCGUACCGGUUCGAUUCCGGUUCUGGGCACCA